AGCUCAGCUGAUGCAGGCCGGUUGGAGUGGACGUCAUUGCCGGGAACGAGCGAGUCGCCGCUGCAGCCCUAGUGACUGCGGCCUGCAUCCCGAUUAUCGCAAGGGUGAGUAUUGAUAACAGGACCCGGGCAUUAGUUCAGGCAUUAAGAAGAACAACUGACCCAAAGCUCUGCAUUACUAGGGUUGAAGAACUGACUUUUCAUCUUCUAGAAUUUCCUGAAGGAAAAGGAGUGGCUGUCAAGGAAAGAAUUAUUCCAUAUUUAUUACGACUGAGACAAAUUAAGGAUGAAACUCUUCAGGCUGCAGUUAGAGAAAUUUUGGCCCUAAUUGGCUAUGUGGAUCCAGUGAAAGGGAGAGGAAUCCGAAUUCUCUCAAUUGAUGGUGGAGGAACAAGGGGCGUGGUUGCUCUCCAGACCCUACGAAAAUUAGUUGAACUUACUCAGAAGCCAGUUCAUCAGCUCUUUGAUUACAUUUGUGGUGUAAGCACAGGUGCCAUAUUAGCUUUCAUGUUGGGGUUGUUUCAUAUGCCCUUGGAUGAAUGUGAGGAACUUUAUCGAAAAUUAGGAUCAGAUGUAUUUUCACAAAAUGUCAUUGUUGGAACAGUAAAAAUGAGUUGGAGCCAUGCAUUUUAUGACAGUCAAACAUGGGAAAACAUUCUUA
rnacentral:lncRNA from 1 species